CCAUAAGCCCUAUCACCCUGAUCACACCCAAUCUCAUCUGAUCUUGGUAGCUAAGCAGGGUCGGGCCUGAUUAAUACUUGGAUAGGAGACCGCCUGGGAAUACCAGGUGAUAUAUGCA
rnacentral:rRNA from 1 species